GGAAGGAAAGACGCAGGGACACAUCACCCAUCUCGCGCCUGCCCCUGGCUCAGCGCCCGGUGCCAACAGAACACCUUUCAGGAUCCACAGCAACGCAGACAACGAGUCCAGGAUCCCGGCCUCAGCUUGGAACGGAACAGUGUCAUGGCGGAGACGACGGCCUUUGUCUUGCUGGGUGUGAAAGCAUCCGCUGUGCUGGCUCCAAUGCGGCAGAAUCAAGUUUAGAGGAAAAAAGUGAUUAAAGUCAGCUUUGUGCCUCUUUGGUGUGGAAGACCCCCAAACCCCAAGUAGCCAGAUCCCUGGGUCCGAGGAAGGGCUCAUGGUUGGAGCAGCCUAGGCUGUAAUCCUGGCACUUGCGCCUUCGGUUGCUGCUUGCUGUUCGCUCCUGGGGGUCUGGAUAAUCUCCCUUGGCUUUACCGCACUGUCUGGCCCGCAUACAGGGCCCCCGUAACAUAUACCCGCUGCUGCUAUCACACGAAACUGUGGCGUUGCCCCUGAAUGGAUGGCACUGUGCCAACUCUUCUGCCAUCCGCCCUUGCAGCUUUUUUCUUUCCUCCCUCCCUCCCCUUCUCCUCCUCCUCCUCCCGUCGACUUGACGUUAAUUAACACACGGGUUAAUUGAUUUUAAAAGCCGAAGAAUUACAGUUAACU